UGCCAGACUCCUACGGGAGGCAGCAGUGGGGAAUAUUGCACAAUGGGGGAAACCCUGAUGCAGCGACGCCGCGUGAGCGAUGAAGUAUUUCGGUAUGUAAAGCUCUAUCAGCAGGGAAGAAGAUGACGGUACCUGACUAAGAAGCCCCGGCUAACUACGUGCCAGCAGCCGCGGUAAUACGUAGGGGGCAAGCGUUAUCCGGAUUUACUGGGUGUAAAGGGAGCGUAGACGGCGAUGCAAGCCAGAUGUGAAAGCCCGGGGCUCAACCCCGGGACUGCAUUUGGAACUGUGUGGCUGGAGUGUCGGAGAGGCAGGCGGAAUUCCUAGUGUAGCGGUGAAAUGCGUAGAUAUUAGGAGGAACACCAGUGGCGAAGGCGGCCUGCUGGACGAUGACUGACGUUGAGGCUCGAAAGCGUGGGGAGCAAACAGGAUUAGAUACCCCAGUAACC
rnacentral:rRNA from 1 species